GUUGCAGCCUUCUCGCGGUUUCUGCUCGUAACACGCUUUGAUCCUCUCUAUCUUCCUGGAGCUGACGUUGCGACAGCACGUAGUUUUCAUUCUUACGGAACAGAUUCAAAUUGUGGAAGACAACAGCCGGAGUCUGCACACAUCGCACAACAUUCAACAACAGCUCAGUUUUACCUAGAAGUGCAGAGGAGAGCAUCACCACAGCCAGGGCGAGCAGACAAAUCCAGCGGCUGGCAGAGAGAGUCGGCCACAUCUUCAAAACUGCACGGAGCUCGGCUGUAAACGGCCUCGUUGUUCAGCUGCUAACCGCUCGACUCGUCAAAGUCUAAUGAUGAAUGAAGCAGAGAGGUGCGAUCUUAUGUACUCCAGCUUCGCACAAAAAGAGGAACCUCUGUUGUCAUGAGCCAUGUUGCUAGGAUGGAAAUAACCAUGCUGGGAUGACGGGACGGGGACAGAGACUCACACACACUCAGAAGAUUCUCCAGUCCAAACUCAACUGCAGCGACUCAAACAACACAAUGACUCACGGCACCUUUAUCCACAUACUUUUGUGUACUUUUAAUCGGGGCUUGUUGUUUCAUGCUUUGGACCCCUCAGUACCGCUUUUUAGUUCAACCUGUUAACUGCUGCUGCUGCUGCUGGCGGCCACUGAGACGACUGAAGCAGUUGGAUGUUCA